CUGGGAACUGCGUUUGUGACUGCAAGGCUAGAGUACGGCAGAGGGGGGUGGAAUUCCACGUGUAGCAGUGAAAUGCGUAGAGAUGUGGAGGAACACCAAUGGCGAAGGCAGCCCCCUGGGUCGAUACUGACGCUCAUGCACGAAAGCGUGGGUAGCAAACAGGAUUAGAUACCCUGGUAGUCCACGCCCUAAACGAUGUCAACUAGGUGUUGGGUGGGGUAAAAACCAUUUAGUACCGGAGCUAACGCGUGAAGUUGACCGCCUGGGGAGUACGGCCGCAAGGUUAAAACUCAAAGGAAUUGACGGGGACCCGCACAAGCGGUGGAUGAUGUGGAUUAAUUCGAUGCAACGCGAAAAACCUUACCUACCCUUGACAUGUCCAGAAGCCUGAAGAGAUUUGGGUGUGCCCGAAAGGGAACUGGAACACAGGUGCUGCAUGGCUGUCGUCAGCUCGUGUCGUG
rnacentral:rRNA from 1 species